rnacentral:rRNA from 1 species
UCUGCGAUAAGCGCCGGUAAGGUGAUAUGAACCGUUAUAACCGGCGAUUUCCGAAUGGGGAAACCCAGUGUGACUCGUCACACUAUCAUUAACUGAAUCCAUAGGUUAAUGAGGCGAACCGGGGGAACUGAAACAUCUAAGUACCCCGAGGAAAAGAAAUCAACCGAGAUUCCCCCAGUAGCGGCGAGCGAACGGGGAGGAGCCCAGAGCCUGAAUCAGCAUGUGUGUUAGUGGAAGCGUCUGGAAAGGCGCGCGAUACAGGGUGACAGCCCCGUACACAAAAGCGCAUGUGCUGUGAGCUCGAUGAGUAGGGCGGGACACGUGGUAUCCUGUCUGAAUAUGGGGGGACCAUCCUCCAAGGCUAAAUACUCCUGACUGACCGAUAGUGAACCAGUACCGUGAGGGAAAGGCGAAAAGAACCCCGGCGAGGGGAGUGAAAAAGAACCUGAAACCGUGUACGUACAAGCAGUGGGAGCACCUUUUGGGGUGUGACUGCGUACCUUUUGUAUAAUGGGUCAGCGACUUAUAUUCUGUAGCAAGGUUAACCGUAUAGGGGAGCCGCAGGGAAACCGAGUCUUAACCGGGCGUUAAGUUGCAGGGUAUAGACCCGAAACCCGGUGAUCUAGCCAUGGGCAGGUUGAAGGUUGGGUAACACUAACUGGAGGACCGAACCGACUAAUGUUGAAAAAUUAGCGGAUGACCUGUGGCUGGGGGUGAAAGGCCAAUCAAACCGGGAGAUAGCUGGUUCUCCCCGAAAGCUAUUUAGGUAGCGCCUCGUGAAUUCAUCUCCGGGGGUAGAGCACUGUUUCGGCUAGGGGGCCAUCCCGGCUUACCAACCCGAUGCAAACUGCGAAUACCGGAGAAUGUUAUCACGGGAGACACACGGCGGGUGCUAACGUCCGUCGUGAAGAGGGAAACAACCCAGACCGCCAGCUAAGGUCCCAAAGUCAUGGUUAAGUGGGAAACGAUGUGGGAAGGCCCAGACAGCCAGGAUGUUGGCUUAGAAGCAGCCAUCAUUUAAAGAAAGCGUAAUAGCUCACUGGUCGAGUCGGCCUGCGCGGAAGAUGUAACGGGGCUAAACCAUGCACCGAAGCUGCGGCAGCGACACUCAGGUGUUGUUGGGUAGGGGAGCGUUCUGUAAGCCUGCGAAGGUGGCCUGUGAGGGUUGCUGGAGGUAUCAGAAGUGCGAAUGCUGACAUAAGUAACGAUAAAGCGGGUGAAAAGCCCGCUCGCCGGAAGACCAAGGGUUCCUGUCCAACGUUAAUCGGGGCAGGGUGAGUCGACCCCUAAGGCGAGGCCGAAAGGCGUAGUCGAUGGGAAACGGGUUAAUAUUCCCGUACUUGGUGUUACUGCGAAGGGGGGA